rnacentral:rRNA from 1 species
UACGUAGGUGGCAAGCGUUGUCCGGAAUUACUGGGUGUAAAGCGCGUGUAGGCGGGAGGCCAAGUCUGCUGUGAAAUCGCCCGGCUCAACUGGGCGGGGUCGGUGGAAACUGGUCACCUGGAGGACGGUAGAGGCGAGUGGAAUUCCCGGUGUAGUGGUGAAAUGCGUAGAGAUCGGGAGGAACACCAGUGGCGAAGGCGGCUCGCUGGGCCGGACCUGACGCUGAGACGCGAAGGCGUGGGGAGCGAACCGG